CCUGACGAAGCAACGCCGCGUGGAGGAUGAAGGCCUUCGGGUCGUAAACUCCUGUCGACCGGGACGAAAGCAGUCUGGGUAAAUAGCCCGGGCUGUUGACUGUACCGGUGGAGGAAGCCACGGCUAACUCUGUGCCAGCAGCCGCGGUAAUACAGAGGUGGCAAGCGUUGUUCGGAAUUACUGGGCGUAAAGGGCGCGUAGGCGGUUCGAUAAGUCCCGUGUGAAAGCCCCCGGCUCAACUGGGGAACUGCACGGGAAACUGACGGACUUGAGUUCGGGAGAGGGAAGCGGAAUUCCGGGUGUAGCGGUGAAAUGCGUAGAUAUCCGGAGGAACACCGGUGGCGAAGGCGGCUUCCUGGACCGACACUGACGCUGAGGCGCGAAAGCUAGGGGAGCAAACGGGAUUAGAUACCCCGGUAGUCCUAGCUGUAAACGAUGAGCGCUGGGUGUAGGGGGUGUUAACCCCUCCUGUUCCGAAGCUAACGCAUUAAGCGCUCCGCCUGGGGAGUACGGUCGCAAGGCUG
rnacentral:rRNA from 1 species